rnacentral:rRNA from 1 species
CAGUAGCCGCGGGAAUACGUAGGGUGCGAGCGUUAAUCGGAAUUACUGGGCGUAAAGCGUGCGCAGGCGGUUUUGUAAGACAGGCGUGAAAUCCCCGGGCUCAACCUGGGAAUGGCGCUUGUGACUGCAAAGCUAGAGUGCGGCAGAGGGGGAUGGAAUUCCGCGUGUAGCAGUGAAAUGCGUAGAUAUGCGGAGGAACACCGAAGGCGAAGGCAGCCCCCUGGGCCAAUACUGACGCUCAUGCACGAAAGCGUGGGGAGCAAACAGGAUUAGAUACCCCCGUAGUCCCUGUCUCUUAUAC